rnacentral:rRNA from 1 species
UACGUAGGGUGCAAGCGUUAAUCGGAAUUACUGGGCGUAAAGCGUGCGCAGGCGGUUUUGUAAGUCUGAUGUGAAAUCCCCGGGCUCAACCUGGGAAUUGCAUUGGAGACUGCAAGGCUAGAAUCUGGCAGAGGGGGGUAGAAUUCCACGUGUAGCAGUGAAAUGCGUAGAGAUGUGGAGGAACACCGAUGGCGAAGGCAGCCCCCUGGGUCAAGAUUGACGCUCAUGCACGAAAGCGUGGGGAUCAAACAGG